rnacentral:rRNA from 1 species
AUUGAACGCUGGCGGCAGGCCUAACGCAUGCAAGUCGAGCGGAUGAAGGGAGCUUGCUCCUGGAUUCAGCGGCGGACGGGUGAGUAAUGCCUAGGAACCUGCCUGGUAGUGGGGGAUAACGUCCGGAAACGGGCGCUAAUACCGCAUACGUCCUGAGGGAGAAAGUGGGGGAUCUUCGGACCUCACGCUAUCAGAUGAGCCUAGGUCGGAUUAGCUAGUUGGUGGGGUAAAGGCCUACCAAGGCGACGAUCCGUAACUGGUCUGAGAGGAUGAUCAGUCACACUGGAACUGAGACACGGUCCAGACUCCUACGGGAGGCAGCAGUGGGGAAUAUUGGACAAUGGGCGAAAGCCUGAUCCAGCCAUGCCGCGUGUGUGAAGAAGGUCUUCGGAUUGUAAAGCACUUUAAGUUGGGAGGAAGGGCAGUAAGUUAAUACCUUGCUGUUUUGACGUUACCAACAGAAUAAGCACCGGCUAACUUCGUG